UAGCUCAGUCGGUAGAGCAUGAGACUCUUAAUCUCAGGGGUCGUGGGUUUGAACCCCAC
rnacentral:tRNA from 1 species